rnacentral:lncRNA from 1 species
AGCUUCAAUAAAAAGGAGAUCAUAAUGUAUUACAGGAAGGGAAAAUAAUGAAAUGAAAUAGAAAUAAUCAUGAAUUCAAAUAACAUUAAUGAAAAAAAAUCUAGCCUAAAACUAAAUAACUUAGAAAGGAAAAAUAACUAAAUUCCAUCUAUCUUCGGAUCUCUGGCCGGAGGAGUAAAAGAGUUAACAUGAUGCCGUAACAUACGUAACUGACUUGCCGUGCUGCUCAUGUGUUCUAGGACUGCAAGUCUCAAGCUGUGGAAAUCUUCCCUGAGGGCGUUUUGUUCUGACAUCAAAGCUUCAAUGACGGUUUUAAUAUCUGUUCCUGGCAUAUGAUGUCGGAGAUCAGGCAUGGCUGAUUCUUCGGUCAGGACAGGCUGAGGAGGAGGAUCAAUAUCAUGGUAGCCGGAUGGAGUCUGAGGGUCAGAUUCAGCAAGAGAGAUAUGGUCAACAUAGUGCUCAUAGUCAUCACAAAUCUCAUAAUCCUGGAUGGAUUCAGUGGAUCCA